rnacentral:rRNA from 1 species
AGUAACACGUGAGCAACCUGCCUUUCAGUGGGGGACAACAUUUGGAAACGAAUGCUAAUACCGCAUAAGACCACAGUGUCGCAUGGCACAGGGGUCAAAGGAUUUAUCCGCUGAAAGAUGGGCUCGCGUCCGAUUAGCUAGAUGGUGAGGUAACGGCCCACCAUGGCGACGAUCGGUAGCCGGACUGAGAGGUUGAUCGGCCACAUUGGGACUGAGACACGGCCCAGACUCCUACGGGAGGCAGCAUG